rnacentral:tRNA from 1 species
GUAGGUAUAGCUCGGUGGUGGAGUAUGUGCUUAGCAUGCAUGAGGUCCUGGGUUCAACGCCCAUUACCUCCA